AGCCCCAGUGUUGACUGGCUGUGCAUUCAGCCCUAGGAAGGUCAAAAGCAGAAUGGCCUUGUGUCGAUGACUUUUUCUGUAUGUACAGCUCUGGAUGGAAAACAAAUCAGGCAUCUGGCUCUCAGCCUUGAAGAGCUACGGUCUUUGGAGAAUAGAUGUGUAGUCACACUUUGUUUUCCUUUUUAAAGCAAAAGAACAGAACAAACUCUCUGGGGGGAGAAUGCGCUGGCAGAGACUAGAAGAGAGAAACCAAAUAACGUUUGAAACAAUCUGGGGGUUAAGGGAUUGUCUCAACCAUUCAGAUCAAAGAAGGCUCUUCAGGGUAAGUUGGAGUUGUCUGCCUUUGAAAAUGGAAGGGGCUAAGGUGUGAAAGAUUUCUCCGAACUUGGACAACAGUAGGAGUCCAGAACGCCGUCUGUAGGGGCAGCAAGAAUGCCAGUGGAGGGGAUGCCUGGACGUGAGGCAGAGAGUUGACAUUCAGUAUGAACUGCCUUUUCUUUUUAUAACUGAGACUCCUAACUCCAGUAUCAUUUCUCAUGGUUUAAUGUGUUUGGGCUCAUUUGGAGCCAGUGCUGACAAUGGAAGAUGGCUGAGCAAACAAAGGUAUUGUUGUAAACGUCAAACACAAUCAGAGCCAAAGGACGAGAACAAGCCCUAGCAUGGGUAAGUAUUUAUAGGGGAAAUUAAUUUGUUGUCUGAUGGCCAUGAACUGGGCAGUAGAGCAAAGUGAGCCUUUUACAAGCGAUAUUCCAUCUCCGUCCGCAUUCUAAUGGUUGUAAAACUCACCAUAUGAAGCUAAUAAUUGGUGCAUAAAACUAAUACUUUCCAUUUUUUUCCUCUUAUUUUGUAGGCUUUACGCAUUAUAAAAAACAUGAUUAAGUCCUGGCGGUUAUACUCCUGGCUGGUUCUUAUUUCAGCUUUGGUUCCUCUUGCUCAUUCCUCAUAAAAAUUAUUAGUGUGGAUUGUGUACAUUAAGUCAUCUUCAAUGGGAAAUUAAAUGGGGCAAUUUCUCUCGUCUAAGUGUUUCAGAAGAGGCCCGAUAUAGGUGGUGCCAAUGAGCCUCACAAAGCUAGGUGGUGGCUUACCUAUUGAAGGGGACUCCUGAGAGGUUAUGGAAGCAUUCCACCCACGUUACCACACUGGCAAUCUCUAACCCAUCAAGCAAGACUUUAAGGAAGCUGGCACUGAGGAUUACUUGGAAGUCGUAAUCAAUUUAGUAAGUGCCCUCAUCUUCAUUCUCCAAUGCCAUUAGAUGCGUUUCUUCCUUAACACAAACCAAAAGAGAGAUGUGUCAGUGAAACCACUGGGAGAGUUUGAUAUGUCUUCUGGACUUUAUGAGACAUAGGAACUGAUGUCUGACUCAUACUUGAAAACACAGGGGACUGUGGCCUGAACUACUUUUUUUCUGGGGUCUACGAUGAAGAUAUAUUAGGAGUAAUUAGUGCUUCCAGAAUUUGGUGGGGCAAAUAAAGACCCUACUUAA